rnacentral:rRNA from 1 species
CACGAGCGCACCCUUGCCUUAGUUGCUACGAAAGGGCACUCUAAUGGGACUGCCGGUGACAAACCGGAGGAAGGUGGGGAUGACGUCAAGUCCUCAUGGCCCUUAUAGGUGGGGCUACACACGUCAUACAAUGGCUGGUACAGAGGGUUGCCAACCCGCGAGGGGGAGCUAAUCCCAUAAAGCCAGUCGUAGUCCGGAUCGCAGUCUGCAACUCGACUGCGUGAAGUCGGAAUCGCUAGUAAUCGCGGAUCAGAAUGUCGCGGUGAAUACGUUCCCGGGUCUUGUACACACCGCCCGU